rnacentral:rRNA from 1 species
UACGGAGGGUGCAAACGUUGCUCGGAAUCAUUGGGCGUAAAGCGCACGUAGGCGGCCGACUAAGUCGGAUGUGAAAGCCCAGGGCUCAACCCUGGAAGUGCAUUCGAAACUGGCCGGCUUGAAUAUGGAAGAGGGUCGCGGAAUUCCCGGUGUAGAGGUGAAAUUCGUAGAUAUCGGGAGGAACACCAGUGGCGAAGGCGGCGACCUGGGCCAAUAUUGACGCUGAGGUGCGAAAGCGUGGGGAG